rnacentral:rRNA from 1 species
GACGAACGCUGGGGGGGGGCCUAAUACAUGCAAGUGGAACCCUGAGGGGGGGAGUUUACUCUUCUGGGUGGAUUUCCGAAGGGUUGAUUACGGCGUAGGUAACUGCCUUGUUACCGGGGGUUAACUAUGGGAACCGUAAGCAAUAACCCCAUAAAAUGGGAUAACACAUGUCAUUUAUUUAAAAGGGGCAUUUGUCCAAUUACAAAUUGAACCUCGUUGUAUUAGCUAGUAGGUGAGGUAAUGGGCCACCUAGGCGACGAUACAUAGCCGACCUGAGAGGGUGAUCGGCCACACUGGGACUGAGACACGGCCCAGACUCCUACGGGAGGCAGCAGUAGGGAAUCUUCGGCAAUGGGGGCAACCCUGACCGAGCAACGCCGCGUGAGUGAAGAAGGUUUUCGGAUCGUAAAGCUCUGUUGUAAGUCAAGAACGGGUGUGAGAGUGGAAAGUUCACACUGUGACGGUAGCUUACCAGAAAGGGACGGCUAACUACGUG